rnacentral:rRNA from 1 species
GGAAUAUUGGACAAUGGGGGAAACCCUGAUCCAGCGACGCCGCGUGAGUGAAGAAGGCCUUAGGGUUGUAAAGCUCUUUCACCGGUGAAGAUAAUGACGGUAACCGGAGAAGGAGCCCCGGCUAACUUCGUGCCAGCAGCCGCGGUAAUACGAAGGGGGCUAGCGUUGUUCGGAUUUAUUGGGCGUAAAGCGCACGUAGGCGGACUAUUAAGUCAGGGGUGAAAUCCCGGGGCUCAACCCCGGAACUGCCUUUGAUACUGGUAGUCUUGAGUUCGAGAGAGGUGAGUGGAAUUCCGAGUGUAGAGGUGAAAUUCGUAGAUAUUCGGAGGAACACCAGUGGCGAAGGCGGCUCACUGGCUCGAUACUGACGCUGAGGUGCGAAAGCGUGGGGAGCAA